GGCAACCACUCUCACAGAGUCCAAGGCAACGGAGGCCUGCCUUCCCAGAUAUACCACUUCUAUGUUUUUCUUUUUUGGUAAUUUCCUUUGACCCUGAGUUAACUCAUCCCCAUUCCCAUUAUCGUUGGACUACAGGUCACCCAGGCUUCAGGCAUAACUGUUAAAGAGCUUGAUAAACACCUACCGUGGUUACCACUGCAAACAUGCUGCCGAGUAUUGAUGUUCCCAUCCAUAUUCCAUCCUUGUUUCUAACAGGAGGACUUCAGAUGGCACACUGCACACUGUCCUUGUGAUGGGUGAUUCGAUGGUUUACCAACUUGUAUCCAACAUUACUUCGUGAAAGAACAGUUCUAACAAUUUUGUGUGGGACCAUCUACUGAAGAGUGGCCAUCACACCUUGAGCCACACUCUCAAAGAAAACUGACACUCUCCCAGCAAUCAUCAGCUACCCACAGCUCCUCAGUGAGGGAUAAAUUCCACAAUGAACUGUUGUCAGGCUCCAUCUUGUGCAUAUCUUGGGCAGACAACCACAGUUCCUUUGAGUUCACGAGUGCAGUGGAUUUGUCAUAUCUAGAAGAUAGUGUUCUCUUCUGAUCCUCCCUGACCUCUGGCUCUUAAAAUCUUUUCUCCACACUUCCAUGAUGGUCCCCGAGCCUUGGGGAGGAAUGUGAUAUAGACGCCCCAUUUAUGACGGAGCUCUACUGACACUUCUCUGCACUUGGACCCGUUGUGAGUUUCUGUAUUAACCACAAUCCACUGCACAAAGAAACUUCUCUAAUGAUGUUUGAGAGCUGCACUAAUGAGAGCCUGGACCCAGAAGAAUACUCUCUACUUUCUUCCUCCAGAAAUUCAGAGUUUCCAGUCUAGUAGAUCAACCUGGAAUUGACUUGAGCACAAGAUGCCUGAUUGGAAUGACAGACAGACCAGACAGACGGACAUUUGUGUGGACAGCCAUGCAGACAGCAUGAGAAGGCAGUGGGAGGAGAGCCAUGACAUUCUAUAUUAAAUUAU
rnacentral:lncRNA from 1 species